GACGAACGCUGGCGGCGUGCUUAACACAUGCAAGUCGAACGAUGAAGAAGAGAAACGCGAACUUCGGUUCAAAUUUCACUUCGGAUUAGUGGCAGACGGGUGAGUAACGCGUGAGCAACCUACCUCUUACAAAGGGAUGGCCUCGGGAAACCGUGAUUAAUACCAUAUGACACAUUCAUAAGGCAUCUUAAGAAUGUUAAAGCUACGGCGGUAAGAGAUGGGCUCGCGUCCCAUUAGCUAGUUGGUGAGGUAACGGCCCACCAAGGCGACGAUGGGUAACCGGCCUGAGAGGGUGAACGGUCACAUUGGAACUGAGACACGGUCCAAACUCCUACGGGAGGCAGCAGUGGGGAAUAUUGCACAAUGGAGGGAACUCUGAUGCAGCGACGCCGCGUGAGCGAUGAAGGAAUUCGUUUCGUAAAGCUCUGUUCUAUGGGAAGAAAAGGACUGUACCAUAGGAGAAAGCCCCGGCUAAAUACGUG
rnacentral:rRNA from 1 species